rnacentral:rRNA from 1 species
UGGGGAAUUUGGACAAUGGCGAAAGCCUGAUCCAGCAAUGCCGCGUGUGUGAAGAAGGCCUUCGGGUUGUAAAGCACUUUUGUCCGGAAAGAAAUCCUUGGCUCUAAUACAGUCGGGGGAUGACGGUACCGGAAGAAUAAGCACCGGCUAACUACGUGCCAGCAGCCGCGGUAAUACGUAGGGUGCAAGCGUUAAUCGGAAUUACUGGGCGUAAAGCGUGCGCAGGCGGUUUGCUAAGACCGAAUGUGAAAUCCCCGGGCUCAACUGGGAACUGCAUUGGUGACUGGCAGGCUAGAGUAUGGCAGAGGGGGGUAGAAUUCCACGUGUAGCAGUGAAAUGCGUAGAGAUGUGGAGGAAUACCGAUGGCGAAGGCAG